AGCGAACGCUGGCGGCAGGCCUAACACAUGCAAGUCGAACGAAGCCUUCGGGCUUAGUGGCGGACGGGUGAGUAACACGUGGGAACGUACCUUUUGGUUCGGAACAACUCAGGGAAACUUGAGCUAAUACCGGAUGAGCCCCUAGGGGGAAAGAUUUAUCGCCGAAAGAGCGGCCCGCGUUAGAUUAGCUAGUUGGUGAGGUAAAGGCUCACCAAGGCAACGAUCCAUAGCUGGUCUGAGAGGAUGAUCAGCCACACUGGGACUGAGACACGGCCCAGACUCCUACGGGAGGCAGCAGUGGGGAAUCUUGCGCAAUGGGCGAAAGCCUGACGCAGCCAUGCCGCGUGAAUGAUGAAGGUCUUAGGAUUGUAAAAUUCUUUUACCAGGGACGAUAAUGACGGUACCUGGAGAAAAAGCCCCGGCUAACUUCGUGCCAGCCGCCGCCGUAAGAC
rnacentral:rRNA from 1 species